rnacentral:rRNA from 1 species
AACGAACGCUGGCGGCGUGUUUUAGGCAUGCAAGUCGAGCGAGAAAUCCGCUUCGGCGGAGAGUAGAGCGGCGAACGGGUGAGUAAGGCGUGGACAACCUGCCCGGUAGACGAGGAUACAGGCUGGAAACGGUCCUCAAUACUCGAGACGCCUCGGGACGACUGGUCUCGUGGCCAAAUGGUUGUCUCCUUCGGGAGGCUUCCGCUGUCGGAUGGGUUCACGUGCCAUCAGCUUGUUGGUGAGGUAACGGCUCACCAAGGCUUCGACGGCUAGGGGGCCUGAGAGGGUGGCCCCCCGCACUGGGACUGAGACACUGCCCAGACUCCUACGGGAGGCUGCAGUUAAGAAUCAUUCGCAAUGCCCGCAAGGGUGACGAUGCGACGCCGCGUGGAGGAUGAAGGCCUUCGGGUUGUAAACUCCUGUCAGGGCAACAGAAGGGAAGGGGGGAAACUCCCCGACCUUGACUGAGCCCAAAGGAAGCCCCAGCUAACUCCGUGCCAGCAGCUGCGGUGAGACGGAGAGGGCGAGCGUUGUUCGGAAUUACUGGGCGUAAAGGGCACGUAGGCGGGUCCGUAUGUCAGGGGUGAAAGCCCCCGGCCCAACCGGGGAAUGGCCUCUGAAACUGCGGACCUUGAGUGAAGCAGAGGGGAGUGGAACUCUCGGUGGAGCGGUGAAAUGCGUUGAUAUCGAGGGGAACACCAGCGGCGAAGGCGACUCCCUAUGCUUCUACUGACGCUGAGGUGCGAAAGCCAGGGGAGCGAACGGGAUUAGAUACCCCGGUAGUCCUGGCCCUAAACGGUGGGCACUAGGUAGUGGGGGUUCUGAUGGCCCCCUCUGUCGCAGCUAACGCAGUAAGUGCCCCGCCUGGGAACACGACCGCAAGGUU